CUGUGUGUCACCCUGUGCAUGCACAGACACACUCAUGUCAAGAGGAGGGGAUUGUGGGAAAAAAAGGGGUGUCGCUCUUAGAGGGUGUGCUCCACUCCUCUCUUUUCCCUUCUUCCCGCCAUCAUGGGCCUCUUCUCCUCCAGUCCUCCGGCCCAGGUCGUCGCUCACAUACAGGCUGCAGCAUCGCAGGUGUGUGACCUUGAUGGCGCCAGCAUGUGAGGCAACAUGAAUGCUGCCCUUGGGCCUGAGGAGACAGCUUACUCAGCCAAUCAUCGCCCAAGUGACAACUGCACUGGCCAAUCAGAACACAUGCACGCAACGUACCUGGACAGUUGUGACCAUUUCUGUGUUUGCUCCCAAGUGUUGUAUUAGGUUACCGCUUGCCAGGCAGAUGUGUAUUUGAACUGGGCUUUGUCAAGGUGAGGUAGUAGGUUGUAUAGUUUGGUUAGUGGGUCUACACCCUGCUCAGGUGACAACUAUACAGUCUAUUGCCUUCCUCGAGAAGCUCACAAACAACUGAAUAAAUACGAUACGGUUUCGGGAGCGCUAUUGAACUAGAGGACACAUUUUAUAUUUCAAAAAUCUCGAGGCGCAGCACCCAACAGAAAUGUCACAAAAUGUAUAUAAUUUAGACUGGAUGUGAAGUUGUGCUAGUAUACUAAACUCACAAAUUUGCUGAAUGUGAAAUUUGGGCCUGUUUAGUUUCACACAAAUCUACUAUUUUGUUGGGUGAAUGGCAAUAGAUACAGAUUGAAUCUGCCCUCUUGUGGAAGCAGAUUCAAUUGUUUUGCAUGUCAAUAAACAUUUCUGGCAUAGAUUGAUGAGAAAAACAUUAAUUACAGCGGAUGAGGAACAACUGCAUGGAAAACCUCUUUACGUCAUUGUAGGUUUCAUGUGACUAACAUGCAGGUUGUAAAUGACAAUAAAGUCUUUUCAAAUGAGUUGACUCGACUUCCAAUAAAUUCUCAAGAAAUAAAUUAA